rnacentral:rRNA from 1 species
GACGUAGGGGGCCAGCGUUGCUCGGAAUUACUGGGCGUAAAGGGUCCGUAGGCGGUGCGGUAAGUCGGGAGUGAAAUCUCUGGGCUUAACUCAGAGGCUGCUCCGAAACUACCGUGCUAGAGUGCGAGAGAGGCAAGUGGAAUUGCGGGUGUAGCGGUGAAAUGCGUAGAUAUCCGCAGGAACAUCCGAGGCGAAAGCGGCUGCUGGAUCGCAACUGACGCUGAGGGACGAAAGCUAGGGGAGCAAACAGG